CAUUUUUGAUUGAAAAACCUUUUCAGGUUCUGAUUAGAGAAACUUAUGUAUAUAAUACCAGUGGACAGCAGUUGUAUUAUAUUGUUACGUACACUUACGGCAAGAGAGACGCGUCCGCCGGAGAAGUGGGUACUUACAGUGGAACUACCAACAGAGAUACAGGGCUUUCUGGAAAUGACCAACUUAAAAGAGAUGAAGAUGCAAACAUCGCCAAAAGAGUUAAAGUAGAUGAUUAUGAAGAGAUUCUUAAGGCCUUGGAAGCAUAACGCUUUAUGAGGGCUCUUGAGGGGAAGGAUGGAAGCUGACUAAGGCUGAUUGACCGUGAAUGUAGAACAAUAUAUUUUUUCCAAAUAUUAAUAUGGAUCACAA